rnacentral:lncRNA from 13 species
AUGGAGACCGUUAAGAUAGCCUUACUCAUCUUCCUUCUAACCUCGCUCCAGCUCCUCACAACAGAUGCUUCUUCUGUUGCCGCACAAAAAUCAGCAGAACAUUCAACAACAGGCAAACCAUCAGAAACUACGACACCCGUCACGACUGUUCCUCUUUCCACUGUAAAGAACCUUGGUGCAAAUGUUACUGCAGCCAGCGUUACUGCAGCCAGCGUUACUGCAGCCAGCGUUACUGCAGCCAGCGUUACUGCAGCCAGCGUUACUGCAGCCAGCGUUACUGCAGCCAGCAUUACUGCAGCCAGCAUUACUGCAACCAGUGUGACCCCAACCAAGAAUUCUACCUGGAAUUCUACUACAUCACCAGUAACAGAAAAAACAAAAAUGUCAUCCUCACCCCAAGUCCCAGUGAAUUCCGCAUCUCCAUAUACUAAGGACAAUGGAACACAAGGGACCCAGGCCCCAACAACUGUUACCAAGAGUGACUCACUAAACAAAACCACCAUUUCUCACCUUACCAAAAAGCUCUCAGGUUCAGAGGAUGAAAAUACAGGUCAAGAUAGAGUCAAGGACAAUAAGAAUACGGAUCAAGAUGUCGGUCAACAGGCUGGAGAUAAGAACCUGCUGUGGAUUCUUUUGCCAGUCCUGGCACUUGUGGGGGCUGCUGUCGUGGUCCUUCUGAAAAGUAAAUGCAUGAAGGACCACGAUCACACAGAGAUAACUGAUAAUGGAACAGAAAAUGCCUCUUUCCAGAGCAGGCCGGACAACGCCAAAGACGGUGUCAUGCUUCUCGGGGUGAAGUCUUCAGGCGGUGAAGACAAUGCUGCUGCAAGAUAAAAGGGAUGCCAUCCCAUUCGAAAGGACCAAUGGAUGAGGACGAGCUCUUACAACCAAAAAAUGGUCCAGAUCCCUUCACCUUCAACGAUCUAAACCUUAUGGACUAUCUAAUACGGCGUCACAGAAUCACAAAAGUUACUAAAGUGGGAACAUUUGUAUAUGGUUUGUGAGUAUUGUAGGAUAUGGGGCUCUUAACUGAACACGUGUCUGUUAGAAGGUAUAGCAUGUUUUAUUAUGUACUUCAUUGUUUUGUGUAUUCCUAUUUUGAUGGUAAUUUAGUCAAGAAGGAAUUGUGAUUUUAAUUUAAUCAAGACCAACAUACAGACAUUUUAGUCAGGAAAACGAUGCUGGAUUCUGAAUUAACAUGAAUAAAUUAACCCAAAUUCUCAUUGUCUGAGUGUAAGAUGAUUGUCUCACCCCUGUAUUCAAGAUACUGGUUUUGAUUUGAUUAAAUCACCCAAACAUGCAUGAAAUCCAAAUGUACUGAACCUGAAUUCAACACACAAUUCCUCGAUUUAAACCAGUUAGUGACCAGUACACAUGGUUAACAAGUGUUUGUAUGCUUUAAAUCGGUUUAAAAUAAUGAUUUAGUUUUCAGUGUAAAUGCCAGGAUUGUAAAGAUGAGCUUUUUUACCAGUAUGUUUCCUGCUUUUGAACAAGUUAUUUUGUAUAUUAGCUGUUGCUUGUCAGAAAACUUUUGUCAAAUGUUUCCCA